GUGCUCGCUUCUGCAGCACAUAUACUAAAAUUGGAACGAUUCAGAGAAGAUUAGCAUGGCCCCUGCACAAGGAUGACAUGCAAAUUCGUGAAGCAUAAUAAGGCCCU
ensembl:snRNA U6 U6 spliceosomal RNA